rnacentral:lncRNA from 1 species
GUUGAGCAUAUUAAUUUGUAAUUUGUAUAUUUAUUAACACCUUAUUGCAUGUCGUUCUAUGGUUUUAAUAAAUGUGUUGUCAUUUCAUUUUUAUUACUACUAACAUGAUUUUUUAGUGAUCAGUGAUAAUGUAUUUUUAACGUUAUGUAUUAUAUUUUAUAGUAUAUUUUUUAACUCUUCGUGCUGACACUUUUUUUAGAAUCAUUUUAAUUAGAUAAUAGGUUUAAAGAUGUAAAUAAAACUGUGUAUGUUGUAAAUUUAGACUUUUUAGUGUACUUGAGCACUAUCAAUUAUGGAAAUUAUAUUAUGAUUUUAUUUUACUAAAUCUUUCUUUUUGUGUAUUUUUUUGUUUUAUUUUGUAUUUUUACAAUAUUAUUGCAUUAUUCUUUAAUUGCAGUGAAUUGAUAUUUUCAAUUUUUGUUUCAUAUACCUUAAAAGUCUUCAGUUGAUUUUUGUUUGUUUUCUUUCUCCAAUUAUAAUAUACGGUUCGACCGUUUCUUCUUUUUUUGGGAUCAAACUUCUAAUAUCAUCAGAUAGAAAAGCUUAAACUCUAAUAAUGGAGUGAGUAUUUGUGCUAGAGAAAACUAAUUUAACCACUAAUAUAGUGAGAUAUUACAAUAUUAAAAGGUAUGAAAACUCUUCUAUGUUGUCCUACGCUGGACAUAAUUAAGUUGUUGUCAAUUGAUUCUAUAUUUGUGAUAACUGGAAAUACAUCUUUAUGUCUUCCUUACAUCAUACUUAAUUGGUUUAUGGUUCGACCAUUUCUAAUAUACUGAGAGUAACAUAAAAUUAG